rnacentral:rRNA from 1 species
AUUGAACGCUGGCGGCAGGCCUAACACACGCAAGUCGAGCGGAUGAAGAGAGCUUGCUCUCUGAUUUAGCGGCGGACGGGUGAGUAAUGCCUAGGAAUCUGCCUGGUAGUGGGGGAUAACGUUCCGAAAGGAACGCUAAUACCGCAUACGUCCUACGAGAGAAAGCAGGGGACCUUCGGGCCUUGCGCUAUCAGAUGAGCCUAGGUCGGAUUAGCUAGUUGGUGUGGUAAUGGCUCACCAAGGCUACGAUCCGUAACUGGUCUGAGAGGAUGAUCAGUCACACUGGAACUGAGACACGGUCCAGACUCCUACGGGAGGCAGCAGUGGGGAAUAUUGGACAAUGGGCGAAAGCCUGAUCCAGCCAUGCCGCGUGUGUGAAGAAGGUCUUCGGAUUGUAAAGCACUUUAAGUUGGGAGGAAGGGCAGUAAGUUAAUACCUUGCUGUUUUGACGUUACCGACAGAAUAAGCACCGGCUAACUUCGUGCCAGCCGCCGCCGUAACAC